rnacentral:rRNA from 1 species
ACUGUUUUAGUUGCAAACAGGUCAAGCUGUGCACUCUAGACAGACUGCCGUGGACAACACGGAGGAAGGUGGGGAUGACGUCAAAUCAUCAUGCCCCUUAUGAUCUGGGCUACACACGUGCUACAAUGGCCGGUACAACGGGCAGCGAAGGAGCGAUCCGGAGCGAAUCCUAAAAAGCCGGUCCCAGUUCGGAUUGCAGGCUGAAACUCGCCUACAUGAAGUUGGAGUUGCUAGUAAUCGCGAAUCAGAAUGUCGCGGUGAAUGCGUUCCCGGGUCUU